GGACACGAUCAGCAGGGAAAGCACGUGUGUUUUUAUGAGAAUUAUGCUGAGAUAGGUAACAGAUGAGGAUGAAAUUUGGGCUUGACUGAAGUAAUGGGGGCUGUCUGUGAAGCCUUGCGGCAGUACAGCCCAGGCAGCACUGAGAAGUGAAGGAAUAUUUGGGAGGAUCAGAAGCUUGGUCCUGAUUUUGCCAUCAACAGGAACUUGAUGACUUCAAGGGAGUCCCCAAACCCUGGGUUUCUGUUUUCUCAACUCUAACAUGAGGGGCUAGAUGCAUCUGGUUUAGUUAGUCUCCAUGAUGGUUUAGUUCGUCUCCAUGAUCCUGUGAAUUUCAGAUGUUGAAAAUCUUCGGAAAAGCCCUGAAAGAUGAACAGUGGUCUCAAAUAGUCAAGACCCCCUGCUGGGAGGAGCUUCUAUCCUGCUCUGUGGAA
rnacentral:lncRNA from 10 species